UCAAGGGUAUUCACUAAACCCCCUAGGCGAAACGAAAGUGAGUUCGUAUCUCUCAAGCAGAACGAGAACUCUUUCUCUACGUUCGGCGACGUCGUUCGCCGACCCUUCCCCGAGUCGGUCGGAGCUCCUCUCUUACCCCUUCGGAGGAAGACAUUAAUCUUUUUAAAACCACCAAAAAAAUGGGUCGCAUUCGCCUUCCCUCUUUCUUUAUUCAUUCGAGGUUUCGUUUUGCGCGUUUAUCUCUUCGGAAGUGCUCGCUCGAACUCGUCCUCUUUUUCAUUCCCUCUCUAUUUCUGGAAAUUCCACGAGCCCGUCGCCCGUUCCAUUUCGGUUCGGGAAAGAUGCCUGGAAUGAAAGGAAAUACUUAAAGAGAAGGGUAGUGGAGAAGCGAGUUAGAACGUGCACGCUUUCCGCUUGAGGUUUCGCGUAACUACUUACCUCGGGUUGUAAAUGGAGGUUGGAAGGGUAUACGUAUGUAAAUGCAUAUGUAUAUUUGCGUAUCCGGUGGAGGAAAGAUGAAAAAGUGUCGAUCGAAGACGGGGAUAAAAUAAGGAGGUACUACGAAAAAAGAGACUCGGGGGCGUUAACGAACGACGUCGGUGGCUAGGAUGGAGUCAGUGUUCUAGCGAUACCGAGAAAUGAUACUUGUUUGGUCUGAUCCGAUCGCCCUAGUAGUAGUCUGGGGCGUCUCCGGGGUGGUAUUGGCGAGGUUGCCUUUGAAAAGAAAAAAAAAAUUUUUUUUUUUUCGUUAUUUUCAUCGGAUCUUCCUCCGUCUCUCACUACCCCCGUCGAUAAUAAUUGCGGAGGCGUCCUCGUGUCUACGAACCAGGCUCGGCGCAAGACCGGGGCUCGUCGUCGCCCUCUCCUCGCUCUCAUUUCGUUCUUCGGAGCGUUUUGACGCGGCGGAGCCGGCGGGCGAGUACCUUGAGCGUACUGGUUAGUACCCGAAAGAUGGUGAUCUAUGCCUGGUUAGGACGAAGCCAGAGGAAACUCUGGUGGAGGUCCGCAGCGGUUCUGACGUGCAAAUCGAUCGUCAGAGCUGG
rnacentral:rRNA from 1 species